rnacentral:rRNA from 1 species
UGGGAAUUUUGGACGAAUUGGGCGAAAGCCUGAUCCAGCAAUGCCGCGUGUGUGAAGAAGGCCUUCGGGUUGUAAAGCACUUUUGUCCGGAAAGAAAUCCUUGGCUCUAAUACAGUCGGGGGAGUGACGGUACCGGAAGAAUAAGCACCGGCUAACUACGUGCCAGCAGCCGCGGUAAUACGUAGGGUGCAAGCGUUAAUCGGAAUUACUGGGCGUAAAGCGUGCGCAGGCGGUUUGCUAAGACCGAUGUGAAAUCCCCGGGCUCAACCUGGAACUGCAUUGGUGACUGGCAGGCUAGAGUAUGGCAGAGGGGGGUUGAGAAUUCCACGUGUAGCAGUGAAAUGCGUAGAGAUGUGGAGGAAUACCGAUGGCGAAGGCAGCCCCCUGGGCCAAUACUGACGCUCAUGCACGAAAGCGUGGGGAGCAAACAGGAUUAGAUACCCUGGUAGUCCACGCCCUAAA